AUUUUGUGAUGAGUGCACUUUGAUAAUAAUUCUUUGUACCUUUCCCAUGCCUCAUACAAUAACUCAUCAUCCAUUUGUUGGACAGUAGUGAUCUUAUUCCUCAACUU
rfam:Gossypium hirsutum cultivar TM-1 chromosome 21, whole genome shotgun sequence